rnacentral:rRNA from 1 species
GUGAUAUGUUUAGGGUGAGUAACACGUGAGUAACCUGCCCUUGACUCUGGGAUAAGCCUGGGAAACUGGGUCUAAUACCGGAUAUGACUCCUCAUCGCAUGGUGGGGGGUGGAAAGCUUUUUUGUGGUUUUGGAUGGACUCGCGGCCUAUCGGCUUGUUGGUGAGGUAAUGGCUUACCAAGGUGACAACGGGUAGCCGGCCUGAGAGGGUGACCGGCCACACUGGGACUGAGACACGGCCCAGACUCCUACGGGAGGCAGCAGUGGGGAAUAUUGCACAAUGGGCGCAAGCCUGAUGCAGCGACGCCGCGUGAGGGAUGACGGCCUUCGGGUUGUAAACCUCUUUCAGUAGGGAAGAAGCGAAAGUGACGGUACCUGCAGAAGAAGCGCCGGCUAACUACGUGCCAGCAGCCGCGGUAAUACGUAGGGCGCAAGCGUUAUCCGGAAUUAUUGGGCGUAAAGAGCUCGUAGGCGGUUUGUCGCGUCUGCCGUGAAAGUCCGGGGCUCAACUCCGGAUCUGCGGUGGGUACGGGCAGACUAGAGUGAUGUAGGGGAGACUGGAAUUCCUGGUGUAGCGGUGAAAUGCGCAGAUAUCAGGAGGAACACCGAUGGCGAAGGCAGGUCUUCU